rnacentral:tRNA from 1 species
GAGGAUAUAGCUCAGUGGUAGAGGGCCUGCUUAGCAUGCACAAGGCCCUGGGUUCAAGCCCCGGUACCACCA